GACCGGGUAGCUCAAAUGGUAGAGCAGCCGACAUGUCCCAGGAGGUUCUGGGUUCGAAUCCCAGUCCGAGCA
rnacentral:tRNA from 1 species